UACAGAGGGUGCAAGCGUUGUUCGGAAUUAUUGGGCGUAAAGGGCGCGUAGGCGGUGCGGUAAGUCUGUUGUGAAAGCCCCGGGCUCAACCUGGGAAUGGCAAUGGAUACUGGCAAGCUAGAGUGCGGUAGAGGGUAGUGGAAUUCCCGGUGUAGCGGUGAAAUGCGUAGAUAUCGGGAAGAACACCAGUGGCGAAAGCGCUCUACUGGGCCAUAACUGACACUGAGGGACGAAAGCUAGGGGAGCGAAAGGG
rnacentral:rRNA from 1 species